rnacentral:rRNA from 1 species
CCAAUAGCGUAUAUUAAAGUUGUUGCAGUUAAAAAGCUCGUAGUUGAAUUUCGGGGUUAGUAGGUUGGUCAUGCCUCUGGUAUGUACUGGUCUCACUGAUUCCUCCUUCCUGACGAACCUUAAUGCCAUUAAUUUGGUGUUUUGGGAAAUUUGGACUGUUACUUUGAAAAAAUUAGAGUGUUUAAAGCAAGCUAACGCUUGAAUACAUUAGCAUGGAAUAAUGAAAUAGUACGUUCGAUCCUAUUUUGUUGGUUUCUAGGAUUGACGUAAUGAUUAAUAGGGAUAGUUGGGGGCAUUAGUAUUCAAUUGUCAGAGGUGAAAUUCUUGGAUUUAUUGAAGACUAACUACUGCGAAAGCAUUUGCCAAGGAUGUUUUCAUUAAUCAAGAACGAAAGUUAGGGGAUCGAAGACGAUCAGAUACCGUCGUAGUCUUAACCAUAAACUAUGCCGACUAGGGAUCGGAUGAUGUUAAUUUUUUAAUGACUCAUUCGGCGCCUUACG